rnacentral:rRNA from 1 species
UACGAAGGUCCCAAGCGUUAUCCGGAUUUAUUGGGUUUAGAGGGUGCGUAGGCGGAUUAUUAAGUCAGUGGUGAAAGCCUUCAGCUUAACUGAAGAACUGCCAUUGAUACUGAUGAUCUUGAGUAUGAUUGAGGUGGGCGGAAUGUGUCAUGUAGCGGUGAAAUGCUUAGAUAUGACACAGAACACCGAUUGCGAAGGCAGCUCACUAAGUCAUAACUGACGCUGAGGCACGAAAGCGUGGGGAGCAAACAGG